GAGUUUGAUCGUGGCUCAGAUUGAACGCUGGCGGCAGGCCUAACACAUGCAAGUCGAGCGGUAGAGAGAAGCUUGCUUCUCUUGAGAGCGGCGGACGGGUGAGUAAUGCCUAGGAAUCUGCCUGGUAGUGGGGGAUAACGCUCGGAAACGGACGCUAAUGCCGCAUACGUCCUACGGGAGAAAGCAGGGGACCUUCGGGCCUUGCGCUAUCAGAUGAGCCUAGGUCGGAUUAGCUAGUUGGUGAGGUAAUGGCUCACCAAGGCGACGAUCCGUAACUGGUCUGAGAGGAUGAUCAGUCACACUGGAACUGAGACACGGUCCAGACUCCUACGGGAGGCAGCAGUGGGGAAUAUUGGACAAUGGGCGAAAGCCUGAUCCAGCCAUGCCGCGUGUGUGAAGAAGGUCUUCGGAUUGUAAAGCACUUUAAGUUGGGAGGAAGGCAGUAAAUUAAUACUUUGCUG
rnacentral:rRNA from 1 species